ACUGGACUAACCCUUAUAUCUGACCCAACCUACUGGACUAACCCUUAUAUCUGACCCAACCUACUGAAUUACCCUUCAAUCUGGCCCAACCUACUGGACUAAAUUGUAUAUCUGCCCCAACCUAGUGGACUAACCUUGAUAUCUGGCCCAACCUACUGACUAACCCUUAUAUCUGGCCCAACCUCCCGGAACAUCCCUUACAUCUGCCCCACCCCACUGGCCCAACCCUUAUAUCUGUCCCAACCCACUGGACUAACCCUAACAUCUGUCCCAACCCACCGGACUAACCCCUACAUCUGUCCCAACCCACUAGACUAACCCCUACAUCUGUCCCAACCCACUGGACUAACCCUUACAUCUGUCCCANNNNNNNNNNACACUACAGAGUUAGAUGGACUACACUAUAGAGUUAUAGAUGGACUACACUACAGAGUUAGAUGGACUACACUAUAGAGUUAUAGAUGGACUACACUACAGAGUUAGAUGGACUACACUAUAGAGUUAGAUGGACUACACUAUAGAGUUAGAUGGACUACACUACAGAGUUAGAUGGACUACACUACAGAGUUAGAUGGACUACACUAUAGAGUUAUAGAUGGACUACACCCUUGUUUUAAUGCCGUAUGUAUUCAAUGCUGUAUGUUUGAAUGUUUUAUGUUGAACGCUGUAUGGACUUUUUUUUCUCUCAAUGCAACAAAUCAUACUGCUGUAACUAAUCAUGACUCUUACAGUUUCUCCUGCCCCACCCAGAGAUGGUUUGGCAUCAAUCCCAAAGACCUCUGUGCGCCGUUAUGUUAACCUGGUCCCAGAUCUGUUUGUGCUGUACAGCCAACUCCUAUGGUCAUUGUCACAAGACGGCACACAACUGAUCUGGGACCAGGCUACUAUUUUGUAGCUUAACACUGACUUGGUACCAAAGCAGCUGUUACAGCCCCCACCCAUGGCUGACUACAGAUAGCAGCUACUGUAAGGGACGGCUUGCUCUGUGGAAUGAAACUGUUCUCUUUUAUACCAUCAAUGGUGCUUGUACUAAAGUGGUUGAAUUAUUGUUGUUGUUCAUUGUGUUUUUGUAUUCGUUUUUUUUUGUGUUGUCUAGGGGGUUUAUUUCUCAGACAAAACCAGAAUAUCACGGCGUUAUAAUGAGUUAUAAACCAGAGUAAUCACUGAGAGUUACAAUGAGACAUAAAUUAGAACUUGAAUGAAUGUUUUUAUGAAUGUGUGGGGGAAAAACGGAACUACUGACACCUGCAUGAAUGUCCUGGAAUUAUGAUUCAGCUUUACAGGAACGCUAUGAAGUAGCCUACAUGU
rnacentral:lncRNA from 13 species